rnacentral:rRNA from 1 species
UACGUAGGGUGCAAGCGUUGUCCGGAAUUAUUGGGCGUAAAGGGCGCGUAGGUGGUUGAUUAAGUUAGAUGUGAAAGCCCUGGGCUUAACCUAGGAACUGCAUCUAAUACUGAUUGACUAGAGUAUUGUAGAGGGUAGUGGAAUUUCCGGUGUAGCGGUGAAAUGCGUAGAGAUCGGAAGGAACACCAGUGGCGAAGGCGGCUACCUGGACAAAUACUGACACUGAGGCGCGAAAGCGUGGGGAGCAAACAGG